UCUGUGAAAUAUGUAGUGUGUUAGGAAUUAAUUUUAUGCAUAUUAUAUGUGGUGCCAAUGAGGUUGAGUUCACUCUGACUGAAAAGCAGAAUAUGUAGGUAUUUUCUUUGUUCCAGGCACAAUGCAGUUCUAUUUGCUAUUUUACAAAAUUUACCUUUUAACGUAAGAAAAAGGAUGCUAUCUGCACAAUUAGGUAGAGAAAAGGCAUGCAAUGGAAGGAUGUCAUUGUUAGCCCUUACAUACAAGGCUUGUGGUUUUCCUUCUUCAUAGUCCACUUUCAGUUGCAAGAUCCUUCUAACCAGGAUGCCUUCGCUUUUGAGAGAUGAAAAGAGAAAAUGCUCAACUUCUCUAUUGCAUAUGAGAAAACUCCUGUUGGGCUGGCCCGUGAUUGGAAGUGGCGCUACCAAAGAGCAUGAAGGCAACGGGGUAUGAAAUAAUUAAUGAAGGUAAGGAAACCACUUCACUUUUGAACUUGGGCCUAAUAUAGACCCAUUGACAGGCCUAGCUCUAAUUUGCCUGUGUUAACAGACCUAAUCUACUUUUGAGGUGGGUUCCAGCCAAACUAAUUGGGUAGUGGGUUGGGUUGGAGCUAGAAAAUUGUCCAUUUAAAUAAUGGGUUAGGCUGGGGUUGAACCUACCUAAUGGAUCGAGCCAGAUGACCCUACAUAGGUUACUAAUGGGUUGAACCAGAUGACCUAUCUUGACUCCCUAAAACCCAAAACAAAAUAAAGAUCAAAAGCAUGGAUAAAUUUAUUGUCUGGACCCAAGCUCAACAUGAUUUCUUUGGUCCAAUUGAUU